rnacentral:rRNA from 1 species
GACCUCAGGUCAGGCGGGGCUACCCGCUGAGUUUA